UACCUGGUUGAUUCUGCCAGUAGUCAUAUGCUUGUCUCAAAGAUUAAGCCAUGCAUGUCUAAGUAUAAGCAAUUAUACCGCGAAACUGCGAAUGGCUCAUUAUAUAAGUUAUCGUUUAUUUGAUAGCACAUUACUACAUGGAUAACUGUGGUAAUUCUAGAGCUAAUACAUGCUAAAAAUCCCGACUUCGGAAGGGAUGUAUUUAUUAGAUUAAA
rnacentral:rRNA from 1 species